rnacentral:rRNA from 1 species
UACGUAGGGUGCAAGCGUUGUCCGGAAUUAUUGGGCGUAAAGAGCUCGUAGGCGGUUUGUCGCGUCUGCUGUGAAACCCGAGGCUCAACCUCGGGCCUGCAGUGGUACGGCAGACUAGAGUGCGGUAGGGAGAUUGGAAUUCCUGGUGUAGCGGUGAAAUGCGCAGAUAUCAGGAGGAACACCGAUGGCGAAGGCAGGUCUCUGGCCACUACUGACGCUGAGAAGCGAAAGCAUGGGAGCGAACAGG